CACGUAGGGCGCGAGCGUUGUCCGGAAUUAUUGGGCGUAAAGAGCUCGUAGGCGGCCUGUUGCGUCCGCUGUGAAAGCCCGGGGCUUAACCCCGGGUCGCAGUGGAUACGGGCAGACUAGGGGCAGGGAGGGGAGAAUGGAAUUCCCGGUGUAGCGGUGAAAUGCGCAGAUAUCGGGAGGAACACCGGUGGCGAAGGCGGUUCUCUGGGCCUUACCUGACACUGAGGAGCGAAAGCGUGGGGAGCGGAACAGG
rnacentral:rRNA from 1 species